AAUUGCCUGACCCAAGUGGCAUAGUUAACACAGCUUAACUAUUGGCGCUCUCAUGCAGAGAGUAUUCAGUUGCUCAUGGCAAAUAUGGCCCACCCUGAGUUGGACCCCUUAGUUGGUUCAGCUGGUAAGAGUUAGAUUUUGGCGGCACUUGUUUAGGUGCCAGGCAUACAUUGCAGCCAGGGUGGGCCAGCUUGCUUCAUGAACUGGCCACUAGCUUCACAUCGUUGAACUAGUGUUUAAGCCUUGGGUUCAGUUUGACCACCAUUUGCAACCGCAAGCUUAGGGGGUGUGGCCCAUACAAUAUUACCAACCCUUCCCUCUUUUUGCCCCUUUGGGGUGAUGUGCAGGACUUAUUGUAUAUAUUUUGUAUAUAUUUUGUGCGUGCAUUUUAGGGCGAAUGGGAUAUUAAAGGCUCAUACUAUCCAUUUGUUUUUGAUUCUUCCAUGCUCUCUCUUGAUCUAACUUGCUUUAAAGAUACAAAAGAGUUCUCAGGAUGGAUAGUAUCACCAAACGAUAGCGAAGAAAUGCCAGACACAAUAUCAAUGCAAACAAUUGACACUGUUGAGUUGAAAGAAAGAAGUGCCCAAGUGCUUAAGAAAUCAUUCCCCUCCAUCAGUUUGUAUGUUUAUAUUUUUAAUGAAGCAACUGAUGCUGACACAAUAAAUGAGUGGUUUAAGGUUGGAGGAACAAACUUAAGCAUUAACAUCAGCCGUCACAGAGAAUAGGCUAGAGCUUUAUUGAUAAUAAUUUGCUACUUUUAAUUGUACUGUGUGACUUUAUUACUUAGGGUGAAAAUUAAUGUUCCAAUUUAUUGAGUUUUGUGUUCUUAAUAAUUUAAAUUUAUGUGACUUUGCUAUUUUUUAUUAGUUAUAACUGUUAGCAAAAAAGCUACAAAAUCCA